UACGGAGGGGACUAGCGUUGUUCGGAAUUACUGGGCGUAAAGCGCGCGUAGGCGGAUUAGUCAGUCAGAGGUGAAAUCCUGGGGCUCAACCCCAGAACUGCCUUUGAUACUGCUAGCCUUGAGUUCGAGAGAGGUGAGUGGAAUUCCGAGUGUAGAGGUGAAAUUCGUAGAUAUUCGGAGGAACACCAGUGGCGAAGGCGGCUCACUGGCUCGAUACUGACGCUGAGGUGCGAAAGCGUGGGGAGCAAACAGG
rnacentral:misc_RNA from 1 species